rfam:Actinomyces coleocanis DSM 15436 SCAFFOLD5 genomic scaffold, whole genome shotgun sequence.
GGGGAUGAUCGGUUUCGACAGCGAUUUACGAUCGUGGAGAAGCGUGCCGAGGAUGUUUACUGAUCUCGUAAACCAAGUAUUCAAAAAUUAGGUGCCGAACAGAAUCGCACCGACCUCGUUCUUGCAGCCUGAUUGCGCAAGACGGUCCGUCAGACCAAGUGAUGCUCUUAGCUUGGACCCUGGCGCAACCUUAAGAGCCACUGGAUUUCCGGUUUGUUAGUGGCCGGCAUUCGACACUUUAGCUAACUGAGCCUACUGACAUUGGGUCUGCGCAUAGUCAGGGGCUGAGAAAUACUCCGCAGACUGCGCACGGAGAAGCCCUCGGGGUUGGUCGUUGGACGCGGGUUCAAUUCCCGCCAUCUCCACAA